AGCUUGUCAUGCUAGAGCACUUUUUCAAUGAGCUCCCCAACGACAAGACGACAACGCAUUCGUAUGUCAUCCAUAUAAACUUUCGAUGCCACUUUCUGCGCCUACAAUGGUGACAAUGGGUAACGGGGAAUCAGGGUUCGAUUCCAGAGAGGGAGCCUGAGAAACGCCUACCACAUGCAAGGAAGGCAGCAGGCGUGCAAAUGACCCACUUCCGACGCGGGAAGGUA